UACGUAGGUGGCAAGCGUUGUCCGGAAUUACUGGGUGUAAAGGGCGUGUAGGCGGGGAGACAAGUCAGAUGUGAAAUACCGUGGCUUAACUGCGGGGGUGCAUCUGAAACUGUUUCUCUUGAGUGUCGGAGAGGAAAGUGGAAUUCCCAGUGUAGCGGUGAAAUGCGUAGAGAUUGGGAGGAACACCAGUGGCGAAGGCGGCUUUCUGGACGAUAACUGACGCUGAGGCGCGAAAGCGUGGGUAGCAAACAGGAUUAGAUACCCGCGUAGU
rnacentral:rRNA from 1 species